AUGGAGAAGUUCGCCUUUGAUGAUGUUAGCCGGAUUGAUUCUUCAACACUUGAGCCUGAGAUGGAGAGCUUCAUGGUUGAUUAUGGUGAGGUGGAUUCAGAUGUCAAGGAGUCAAGCUCUAUUUCACUUGUUGACAUGAGUCCGGUGGAAAUUAAUACUACCACACCUCACUUGGUAUCUUCAAUGGAGGUAGUCCUGAAGCUUCUUCCUAACUAUCUCAGGUAUGAUCUCAGCUUUCUCGACAAGAUAUGCCAUAUCAUGGAUACUGCCUAUGCACCAUGCGAUUUAUUGAUGAUAUCUAUUUAUCAUAUGCUCAAUAGAUAUGCUUAUGUGAUAGGAUACUCUAUUGAUGACUUAGAGGGCAUUGUCCCUAUCAUUUGUAUUGGCUUGUUUGUUGAGUGUUCUUUCAGGUUUAUGCUUGUGCACCAUUCAUUACGGGCUGACCAAGUUCGAGAUGACAUCCCAUGGGAUCCUGGUGGAUUCACAGCAUGGUGA
rnacentral:rRNA from 1 species